rnacentral:rRNA from 1 species
UACGUAGGGUGCGAGCGUUAAUCGGAAUUACUGGGCGUAAAGCGUGCGCAGGCGGUUCGUUGUGUCGGUGGUGAAAUCCCCGGGCUUAACCUGGGAAUGGCCAUGGAAACUGGCGAACUGGAGUGUGGCAGAGGGGGGUGGAAUUCCGCGUGUAGCAGUGAAAUUCGUAGAUAUUCGCAAGAACACCAGUGGCGAAGGCGGCUCACUGGCCCGAUACUGACGCUGAUGCACGAAAGCGUGGGGAGCAAACAGG